AUGAACGCUAGCUACAGGCUUAACACAUGCAAGUCGAGGGGCAGCAUGGUCUUAGCUUGCUAAGGCCGAUGGCGACCGGCGCACGGGUGAGUAACACGUAUCCAACCUGCCGUCUACUCUUGGACAGCCUUCUGAAAGGAAGAUUAAUACAAGAUGGCAUCAUGAGUCCGCAUGUUCACAUGAUUAAAGGUAUUCCGGUAGACGAUGGGGAUGCGUUCCAUUAGAUAGUAGGCGGGGUAACGGCCCACCUAGUCUUCGAUGGAUAGGGGUUCUGAGAGGAAGGUCCCCCACAUUGGAACUGAGACACGGUCCAAACUCCUACGGGAGGCAGCAGUGAGGAAUAUUGGUCAAUGGGCGAGAGCCUGAACCAGCCAAGUAGCGUGAAGGAUGACUGCCCUAUGGGUUGUAAACUUCUUUUAUAAAGGAAUAAAGUCGGGUAUGGAUACCCGUUUGCAUGUACUUUAUGAAUAAGGAUCGGCUAACUCCGUGCCAGCAGCCGCGGUAAUACGGAGGAUCCGAGCGUUAUCCGGAUUUAUUGGGUUUAAGGGGAGCGUAGAUGGAUGUUUAAGUCAGUUGUGAAAGUUUGCGGCUCAACCGUAAAAUUGCAGUUGAUACUGGAUAUCUUGAGUGCAGUUGAGGCAGGCGGAAUUCGUGGUGUAGCGGUGAAAUGCUUAGAUAUCACGAAGAACUCCGAUUGCGAAGGCAGCCUGCUAAGCUGCAACUGACAUUGAGGCUCGAAAGUGUGGGUAUCAAACAGGAUUAGAUACCCUGGUAGUCCACACGGUAAACGAUGAAUACUCGCUGUUUGCGAUAUACAGCAAGCGGCCAAGCGAAAGCGUUAAGUAUUCCACCUGGGGAGUACGCCGGCAACGGUGAAACUCAAAGGAAUUGACGGGGGCCCGCACAAGCGGAGGAACAUGUGGUUUAAUUCGAUGAUACGCGAGGAACCUUACCCGGGCUUAAAUUGCAGAUGAAUUACGGUGAAAGCCGUAAGCCGCAAGGCAUCUGUGAAGGUGCUGCAUGGUUGUCGUCAGCUCGUGCCGUGAGGUGUCGGCUUAAGUGCCAUAACGAGCGCAACCCUUGUUGUCAGUUACUAACAGGUUCCGCUGAGGACUCUGACAAGACUGCCAUCGUAAGAUGUGAGGAAGGUGGGGAUGACGUCAAAUCAGCACGGCCCUUACGUCCGGGGCUACACACGUGUUACAAUGGGGGGUACAGAGGGCCGCUACCACGCGAGUGGAUGCCAAUCCCCAAAACCUCUCUCAGUUCGGACUGGAGUCUGCAACCCGACUCCACGAAGCUGGAUUCGCUAGUAAUCGCGCAUCAGCCACGGCGCGGUGAAUACGUUCCCGGGCCUUGUACACACCGCCCGUCAAGCCAUGGGAGCCGGGGGUACCUGAAGUGCGUAACCGCGAGGAGCGCCCUAGGGUAAAACUGGUGACUGGGGCU
rnacentral:rRNA from 1 species